UAUAGAUGAGGUGGCUCCCCUAUUAAUUGA
rnacentral:piRNA from 1 species